ACUACGGGUGGCAGCAGUGGGGGAUAUUGCACAAUGGGGGAAACCCUGAUGCAGCGCCGCCGCGUGUGGGAAGACGGUCCUCUGGAUUGUAAACCACUGUCCCCAGGGACGAAGAUGACGGUACCUGGGGAGGAAGCUCCGGCUAACUACGUGCCAGCAGCCGCGGUAAUACGUAGGGAGCGAGCGUUGUCCGGAAUUACUGGGUGUAAAGGGAGCGUAGGCGGGAAUGCAAGUUGGGUGUCAAAUCUACCGGCUCAACCGGUAGCCGCACUCAAAACUGCAGUUCUUGAGUGAAGUAGAGGCAGGCGGAAUUCCUAGUGUAGCGGUGAAAUGCGUAGAUAUUAGGAGGAACACCAGUGGCGAAGGCGGCCUGCUGGGCUUUUACUGACGCUGAGGCUCGAAAGUGUGGGGAGCAAACAGGAUUAGAUACCCUAGUAGUC
rnacentral:rRNA from 1 species